rnacentral:rRNA from 1 species
UGGGGAAUUGUUCACAAUGGGCGCAAGCCUGAUGACGCAACGCCGCGUGGAGGAUGAAGGUCUUCGGAUUGUAAACUCCUGUUGCCCGGGACGAAUGGCUCCAACCUAACACGUUGGGGUGUGACGGUACCGGGUGAGGAAGCCCCGGCUAACUCUGUGCCAGCAGCCGCGGUAAUACAGAGGGGGCAAGCGUUGUUCGGAAUUACUGGGCGUAAAGGGCGCGUAGGCGGCCCGCUAAGUCGAACGUGAAAUCCCCGAGCUCAACGCGGGAACUGCGUCCGAUACUGGCGGGCUUGAAUCCGGGAGAGGGAUGCGGAAUUCCAGGUGUAGCGGUGAAAUGCGUAGAUAUCUGGAGGAACACCGGUGGCGAAGGCGGCAUCCUGGACCGGCAUUGACGCUGAGGCGCGAAAGCUAGGGGAGCAAACGGGAUUAGAUACCCCGGUAGUCCUAGCCCUAAACGAUGAAUGCUUGGUGUGGCGGGUAUCGAUCCCUGCCGUGCCGAAGCUAACGC